rnacentral:sRNA from 1 species
CCGGGGACCAUGGGCUCCAUGUUCCGGAGCGAGGAGGUGGCCCUGGUCCAGCUCUUUCUGCCCACAGCUGCCGCUUACAGCUGCCUCAACGCCUCGGUGAGCGCCUUCCAGAGACGCUUUGUGGUUGAUGUUCGGCGCUGCGAGGAGCUGGAGAAGACCUUCACUUUCCUGCAGGAGGAGGUGCGGCGGGCUGGGCUGGUCCUGCCCCCGCCUGAGGGGAGGCUGCCGGCACCACCACCUCGGGACCUGCUGCGCAUCCAGGAGGAGACGGAGCGCCUGGCCCAGGAGCUGCGGGAUGUGCGGGGCAACCAGCAGGCCCUGCGGGCCCAGCUGCACCAGCUGCAGCUCCACGCCGCCGUGCUGGGCCAGGGCCAUGAACCUCAGCUGGCAGCCGCCCACACAGAUGGGGCCUCAGAGAGGACGCCCCUGCUCCAGGCCCCCGGGGGGCCGCACCAGGACCUGAGGGUCAAGUGAGUGAGGGAUGACCUCAUGCCCUUUCUGGCCAGCCCAGAACCCCUGGCCAGUCACUGGGCUGGGCCAGGCUGAGCUCCGACUCCUUGUCCAGUGCUCUCCCCAGGCUGCCCCUGCCUCCUCCUUCAGGCCCGGAACUUCCCACAGUCCCAAGCCCUGGCCCUGGGGGGUUCUCCUCUUCUGGUCCUGCCCGGGAGGCCUCCUGCCUUCCCCUGUGGGCAGGGCCAGUGUGCCCAAUUGCCCGAUUGCCCGUGCUGGGCAGGGUCCUGCCCGGGGGGCCUGGUGGGGGAUGCAGGGCGGGAGAUGGAGCAGCCCUGCCCAGCACCGUGGCCGCCAGCUUUGUGGCAGGUGCCGUGGAGCCCCACAAGGCCGCUGCCCUAGAGCGCCUGCUCUGGAGGGCCUGCCGCGGCUUCCUCAUCGCCAGCUUCAGGGAGCUGGAGCAGCCGCUGGAGCACCCCGUAACGGUGAGCAGCUGGCACUGGGCUGGGGGGUCCUGGGCAGAGCGGGACCCCGGAGUCAACUGAGCCUGCUCUGCAGGGCGAGCCAGCCACGUGGAU